rnacentral:rRNA from 1 species
AUUGAACGCUGGCGGCAGGCCUAACACAUGCAAGUCGAACGAGUGGCGGACGGGUGAGUAAUGUCUGGGAAACUGCCUGAGGGAGGGGGAUAACUACUGGAAACGGUAGAUAAUACCGCAUACCAUCAGAGGUGCCCAGAUGGGAUUGGCUAGUUGGGGGGGUAACGGCUCACAAAGGCGACGAUCCCUAGCUGGUCUGAGAGGAUGACAGGCCACACUGGAACUGAGACACGGUCCAGCCUCCUACGGGAGGCAGCAGUGGGGAAUAUUGCACAAUGGGCGCGAGCCGGAUGCAGCAAUGCCGCGGGUAUGAAGAAGGCCUUCGUGUUGUAAAGUACUUUCAGCGGGGAGGCGUUACCCGCAGAAGAAGCACCGGCUAACUCCGUGCCAGCAGCCGCGGUAAUAC